rnacentral:rRNA from 1 species
GUGGGGAAUAUUGGACAAUGGGCGCAAGCCUGAUCCAGCAAUGCCGCGUGAGUGAAGAAGGCCUUAGGGUUGUAAAACUCUUUCAGCAGGGAAGAUAAUGACUGUACCUGCAGAAGAAGCCCCGGCUAACUCCGUGCCAGCAGCCGCGGUAAUACGGAGGGGGCUAGCGUUGUUCGGAAUUACUGGGCGUAAAGCGCGCGUAGGCGGUUUUCCAAGUUGGGGGUGAAAUCCCGAGGCUCAACCUCGGAACUGCCCUCAAAACUGGAUGACUAGAGUCCGGGAGAGGUUGGCGGAAUUCCUAGUGUAGAGGUGAAAUUCGUAGAUAUUAGGAAGAACACCAGUGGCGAAGGCGGCCAACUGGACCGGUACUGACGCUAAGGUGCGAAAGCGUGGGGAGCAAACAGG